rnacentral:rRNA from 1 species
GAUGAACGCUGGCGGUAUGCUUAACACAUGCAAGUCGAACGGUCUCUUCGGAGAUAGUGGCGGACGGGUGAGUAACGCGUGAGAAUCUGGCUCUAGGUCUGGGACAACCACUGGAAACGGUGGCUAAUACUGGAUGUGCCGAAAGGUGAAAGAUUGAUUGCCUGGAGAUGAGCUCGCGUCUGAUUAGCUAGUUGGUAGGGUAAGAGCUUACCAAGGCGACGAUCAGUAGCUGGUCUGAGAGGACGAUCAGCCACACUGGGACUGAGACAC